rnacentral:rRNA from 1 species
CAGCCGCCGCGGUAAUACCGAGGGUGCGAGCGUUAAUCGGAUUUACUGGGCGUAAAGCGUGCGUAGGCGGCUUCUUAAGUCGGAUGUGAAAUCCCUGAGCUUAACUUAGGAAUUGCAUUCGAUACUGGGAAGCUAGAGUAUGGGAGAGGAUGGUAGAAUUCCAGGUGUAGCGGUGAAAUGCGUAGAGAUCUGGAGGAAUACCGAUGGCGAAGGCAGCCAUCUGGCCUAAUACUGACGCUGAGGUACGAAAGCAUGGGGAGCAAACAGGAUUAGAGACCCCAGUAGUCCCUGUCUCUUAUAC